rnacentral:rRNA from 1 species
UACGUAGGGGGCAAGCGUUGUCCGGAAUCAUUGGGCGGUAAAGAGCGUGUAGGCGGUUCGGUAAGUCGGCUGUGAAAGUCCAGGGCUCAACCCUGGGAUGCCGGUCGAUACUGCCGGACUAGAGUUCGGAAGAGGCGAGUGGAAUUCCCGGUGUAGCGGUGAAAUGCGCAGAUAUCGGGAGGAACACCUAUGGCGAAGGCAGCUCGCUGGGACGUUACUGACGCU